GAUGAACGCUAGCUACAGGCUUAACACAUGCAAGUCGAGGGGCAGCAUGAUUGAAGCUUGCUUCAAUCGAUGGCGACCGGCGCACGGGUGAGUAACACGUAUCCAACCUGCCGAUAACUCGGGGAUAGCCUUUCGAAAGAAAGAUUAAUACCCGAUAGUAUAGUAUUUCCGCAUGGUUUCACUAUUAAAGAACUUCGGUUAUCGAUGGGGAUGCGUUCCAUUAGAUAGUUGGCGGGGUAACGGCCCACCAAGUCAACGAUGGAUAUGGGUUCUGAGAGGAAAGGGCCCCCCAUUUGGACCUAGGCCAGGGCCCAACGCCCACGGGAGGGAGCAGUGGGGAAUAUUUGGCUAGGGGCCAGGGUCUUAACCAGCCAAGUAGCGUGAAGGAUGGCUGCCCUUUGGGUUGUAAACUUCUUUUAUACGGGAAUAAAGUGGAGUAUGCAUGCUCCUUUGUAUGUACCGUAUGAAUAAGGAUCGGCUAACUCCGUG
rnacentral:rRNA from 1 species